GAUCAUGGCUCAGGAUGAACGCUAGCGGCAGGCUUAACACAUGCAAGUCGAGGGGCAGCGCGGGGCGGCAACGUCCUGGCGGCGACCGGCGGAAGGGUGCGUAACGCGUGAGCGACAUGCCCGUUGCCCGGGGACAACCGGUGGAAACGCCGACUAAUCCCCGAUGGGACGGAGGCCCUCAUGGGUCUCUGUUGAAAGUUACGGCGGCGACGGAUUGGUUCGCGUCCGAUUAGCUUGUUGGCGGGGUAACGGCCCACCAAGG
rnacentral:rRNA from 1 species